rnacentral:lncRNA from 1 species
UGGUGCUGAGAGAGUGCAGUGUCGGCUCUGACCCAGGGCCCAUGCCUUGGCAUUGGGGAGCUGCCUUGGGGCACCCCCAGUUCAGGGACAGUGCCUGUGGCUGGGCUAAACUGGGCUGCUGGGAUUUUCUGGGUGUCUUGGCUAGCCAGAGGGAUGCCACUGAACUGAAACUUGUUCCUGUUCCAGCAGUUUCCCAGCUGAUGUCUUUUGCCAGCUCUGGUAAGUGUCCUUGCUUGGAGAAGCUGGUGGUGGGACUCCAUGUUGUGCUACCUGGCAGCAUCCCAGCCUUUGAAUCCACAGCUCCCUCGGGUGGCCCAGAGCCAAAGGGACCCUGCAGUGGUCUUUCCUCUCCUGUUCCAGCCUCCACUGCUGUUGACCCAAUGCCUCCCACCAGCUCAGGGCCAGCCUUUGAUGGUGACCCAGGUAAGUGUCUCUCCACAGACACGCUGCUGCUGUGCUGGUGGGACAAAGGUGUGAAUGUGACACUUAUUUCUUCAUAGAUGACAGCGAGGAUGGAGACAGCAGGGGAUUCCUUGUUACAUUUUCCCAUCUCUUGGCAAAAGCCAUUCAUUUAGUGUGUUACAAGUACCAAAAGGUGUUUGGGCAGCUUUUUGGUUGAAAGAUGAUGAGUGUGGGAGUGGGCAGGGGAACGGAAGGAGUCUCCCAUCCCUGCAGCGACAUCUGCCACUCACUGAUGUUGAAUCCCAGAUGAUGAUCUUGAUGCCAGCUCCUCUCACAGUUGACUUUGACCCUACCUGGCAUCUCUGAAGACUGCGGAGCUAACCCCACUGACAUCUGCCCGGUCGCAGCAUCUGAUCAAUGCUAAAUUCAAAAUAAAGUCCAAACUAUAGAGCUGAGCCUGCCUCCU